GACGAACGCUGGCGGCGUGCUUAACACAUGCAAGUCGAACGAAGUGGCGAACGGGUGAGUAAUACGUGGGUAACCUGCCCUCCUUUUUGGGAUAAGCCUUGGAAACGGGGUCUAAUACCGAAUAUAGGGGGAUGGGGUCGCGGCCUAUCAGCUUGUUGGUGGGGUGAGGGCCUACCAAGGCGGUGACGGGUAGCCGGCAUGAGAGGGUGACCGGGCACAUAGGGACUGAGAUACGGCCCAGAGGACGAAGGGGGGGGGAAGUGGGGGAUAUUGGGGAAUGGCCGAAAGCGUGAUGCAGCGUCGCCGAGUAGGGGAUGAGGGCUGUCGGGUUGUAAACCUCUUGCGCAAGCGAACGGGUAGGUGGAGAAGAAGCGCCGGCUAACUACGUGCCAGCCGCCGCGGUAAUAC
rnacentral:rRNA from 1 species